rfam:Helianthus annuus linkage group 1, whole genome shotgun sequence.
AACCCGUGAUGUGGACAUUUAACCAACAACUCCUUGAAGCGCUCCCAUGUCUCGUAAAAUGACUCUCCUUCCUUCUGACGAAACUCCUGAAUCAUGCUCCUCAGACG